GGGUUGUGAGGUUAAGCGACUAAGCGUACACGGUGGAUGCCCUGGCAGUCAGAGGCGAUGAAGGACGUGCUAAUCUGCGAAAAGCGUCGGUAAGGUGAUAUGAACCGUUAUAGCCGGCGAUGUCCGAAUGGGGAAACCCAGUGCAAUUCGUUGCACUAUCGUUUGAUGAAUACAUAGUCAAACGAGGCGAACCGGGGGAACUGAAACAUCUAAGUACCCCGAGGAAAAGAAAUCAACCGAGAUUCCCCCAGUAGCGGCGAGCGAACGGGGAGCAGCCCGGAGUCUGAAUCAGCUUGUGUGUUAGUGGAAGCGUCUGGAAAGUCGCAGGGUACAGGGUGAUACUCCCGUACACUAAAGCACACAGGUUGUGAACUCGAAGAGUAGGGCGGGACACGUGGUAUCCUGUCUGAAUAUGGGGGGACCAUCCUCCAAGGCUAAAUACUCCUGACUGACCGAUAGUGAACCAGUACCGUGAGGGAAAGGCGAAAAGAACCCCGGCGAGGGGAGUGAAAAAGAACCUGAAACCGUGUACGUACAAGCAGUAGGAGCCUCUUUAUGGGGUGACUGCGUACCUUUUGUAUAAUGGGUCAGCGACUUAUAUUCUGUAGCAAGGUUAACCGUAUAGGGGAGCCGCAGGGAAACCGAGUCUUAACUGGGCGUUAAGUUGCAGGGUAUAGACCCGAAACCCGGUGAUCUAGCCAUGGGCAGGUUGAAGGUUGGGUAACACUAACUGGAGGACCGAACCGACUAAUGUUGAAAAAUUAGCGGAUGACUUGUGGCUGGGGGUGAAAGGCCAAUCAAACCGGGAGAUAGCUGGUUCUCCCCGAAAGCUAUUUAGGUAGCGCCUCGUGAACUCAUCUUCGGGGGUAGAGCACUGUUUCGGCUAGGGGGUCAUCCCGACUUACCAACCCGAUGCAAACUACGAAUACCGAAGAAUGUUAUCACGGGAGACACACGGCGGGUGCUAACGUCCGUCGUGAAGAGGGAAACAACCCAGACCGCCAGCUAAGGUCCCAAAGUCAUGGUUAAGUGGGAAACGAUGUGGGAAGGCCCAGACAGCCAGGAUGUUGGCUUAGAAGCAGCCAUCAUUUAAAGAAAGCGUAAUAGCUCACUGGUCGAGUCGGCCUGCGCGGAAGAUGUAACGGGGCUAAACCAUGCACCGAAGCUGCGGCAGCGACACUAUGUGUUGUUGGGUAGGGGAGCGUUCUGUAAGCCGUUGAAGGUGGCCUGUGAGGGUUGCUGGAGGUAUCAGAAGUGCGAAUGCUGACAUAAGUAACGAUAAUGCGGGUGAAAAACCCGCACGCCGGAAGACCAAGGGUUCCUGUCCAACGUUAAUCGGGGCAGGGUGAGUCGACCCCUAAGGCGAGGCCGAAAGGCGUAGUCGAUGGGAAACAGGUUAAUAUUCCUGUACUCGGUGUUACUGCGAAGGGGGGACGGAGAAGGCUAUGUUGGCCGGGCGACGGUUGUCCCGGUUUAAGCAUGUAGGCGGAUGUUCCAGGUAAAUCCGGAACGUUAUUAACGCUGAGGUGUGAUGACGAGGCACUACGGUGCUGAAGUGACAAAUGCCCUGCUUCCAGGAAAAGCCUCUAAGCAUCAGGUAACAUCAAAUCGUACCCCAAACCGACACAGGUGGUCAGGUAGAGAAUACCAAGGCGCUUGAGAGAACUCGGGUGAAGGAACUAGGCAAAAUGGUGCCGUAACUUCGGGAGAAGGCACGCUGAUAUGUAGGUGAAGUGGUUUACCCAUGGAGCUGAAAUCAGUCGAAGAUACCAGCUGGCUGCAACUGUUUAUUAAAAACACAGCACUGUGCAAACACGAAAGUGGACGUAUACGGUGUGACGCCUGCCCGGUGCCGGAAGGUUAAUUGAUGGGGUUAUCCGUAAGGAGAAGCUCUUGAUCGAAGCCCCGGUAAACGGCGGCCGUAACUAUAACGGUCCUAAGGUAGCGAAAUUCCUUGUCGGGUAAGUUCCGACCUGCACGAAUGGCGUAAUGAUGGCCAGGCUGUCUCCACCCGAGACUCAGUGAAAUUGAACUCGCUGUGAAGAUGCAGUGUACCCGCGGCAAGACGGAAAGACCCCGUGAACCUUUACUAUAGCUUGACACUGAACACUGGUCCUUGAUGUGUAGGAUAGGUGGGAGGCUUUGAAGCGUGGACGCCAGUCUGCGUGGAGCCAUCCUUGAAAUACCACCCUUUAAUGGCUGGUGUUCUAACGUGGGCCCCUAAUCGGGGUUGCGGACAGUGUCUGGUGGGUAGUUUGACUGGGGCGGUCUCCUCCUAAAGAGUAACGGAGGAGCACGAAGGUCAGCUAAUCCUGGUCGGACAUCAGGAGGUUAGUGCAAUGGCAUAAGCUGGCUUGACUGCGAGCGUGACGGCGCGAGCAGGUGCGAAAGCAGGUCAUAGUGAUCCGGUGGUUCUGAAUGGAAGGGCCAUCGCUCAACGGAUAAAAGGUACUCCGGGGAUAACAGGCUGAUACCGCCCAAGAGUUCAUAUCGACGGCGGUGUUUGGCACCUCGAUGUCGGCUCAUCACAUCCUGGGGCUGAAGUAGGUCCCAAGGGUAUGGCUGUUCGCCAUUUAAAGUGGUACGCGAGCUGGGUUUAGAACGUCGUGAGACAGUUCGGUCCCUAUCUGCCGUGGGCGCUGGAGAAUUGAGGGGGGCUGCUCCUAGUACGAGAGGACCGGAGUGGACGCAUCACUGGUGUUCGGGUUGUCAUGCCAAUGGCAUUGCCCGGUAGCUAAAUGCGGAAGAGAUAAGUGCUGAAAGCAUCUAAGCACGAAACUUGCCCCGAGAUGAGUUCUCCCUGACUCCUUGAGAGUCCUGAAGGAACGUUGAAGACGACGACGUUGAUAGGCCGGGUGUGUAAGCGCAGCGAUGCGUUGAGCUAACCGGUACUAAUGAACCGUGAGGCUUAACCUUACAACGCCGAAG
rnacentral:rRNA from 1 species